AAGAUGUGCCUUGAUCAUCUAUUCAAUAAACCAUAAUUAAUAUUCUUGCACAAUAAUAUAUGUUUCAAAUAUUUAAAUAAAUUUACUCGUCCCUAUCCACUUUCAGCAAUAUUCGGUUGCUCGAGAUUCUUUGUUGUGAUGCAACACUUGAUUGUGAAUCUCCCACUUCCCCUUGCUCUGAUAGAGGUGUUUGUGGUUGUGCCUGUGAUGAACUCUCACGGCUCGCUCGUCUAACACCUCUUCCUCGUGGCAGUUUCCUGAAAAAACAAACAAACAAACAAACAAACAAAUAAAAGGAAAAACAUAAAGUGUUCAAGUCUAUUAUACAUCCAAAUGCGGUCAUCUUUAAAUGAACUCAUGUUCAGCUACAUCCGAAAUAUGAACUGAAUUAAUUAAUAAGGAAAAUAAUAACAAAAAAAUGACCAAUAUCAUAAAAAAAUAGACAAGUUAAAACAUACAAUAAUCUGUUCAAUUUGGGAGAAGUAGAUGAUAAUUUAAGAAGAAAUAAACCACAUAAUUUUCUCACUGAGAUUUGAAUAGUUUUAAUUUAUUUUCCAUUUUUUCUUUCACCAAAUAUAAAGGUAUAAAACAAAAAAAGUAAAUUUACCCUAUCAAUCCAACUAAAUAUGAAACAGAGGCAAUUAAAUAUUAAUUCGCAAACAAUUUUUUUAUGCCAGGACAAUCUAAAAUUCGAAUCAAUAAAAAUUGUGUGUGUGGGUGGGUGGGGGGGGGGGUGAGAAUUACACAAGAGAGGCGUCACUCGUGGCGUACGUGGUGGUGACUUCUCGUGGCGCUGCGGUUGUGGCUGGUCGUGGUACCGCGAGCACGGGUGGCUGGUCGCGGGGCCGGCAGUGGGGAUUCA
rnacentral:lncRNA from 1 species